CCUGAUGGCUCAGAGGGUAAAGCAUCUGCCUGCAAUGCUGGUGACCCAGGUUUGAUUCCUGGGUCGGGA
rnacentral:tRNA from 1 species